ACGCGGGAUGCAUAACUGACGUCCGGACUAGAGCAGGUCGUUUUUGAACUUGACGAACCCGUUGACGCCGCUUCGGAUGACGAGAAAGUAAUAAAGAAAUCAGUUGUGGUUCCUUAGAUCGUACCCAAGUUACUUGGAUAACUGUGGUAAUUCUAGAGCUAAUACAUGCCGACAGAGUCCCGACCGUCGCGGCGCCCUCGGGCGUCGCUCGCGGGAGGAACGCUUUUAUUAGAUCAAAACCGGCCCGUCGCGGCGCGCUUCGUGCGCGUCCCGAUCGCGGCCCGCGCAAAGACCUGGUGACUCUGAAUAACUUCGAGCUGAUCGCACGGUCUCCGUACCGGCGACGCAUCUUUCAAAUGUCUGCCUUAUCAACUGUCGACGGUAGGUUCCAUGCCUACCGUGGUGGUAACGGUAACGGGGAAUCAGGGUUCGAUUCCGGAGAGGGAGCCUGAGAAACGGCUACCACAUCUAAGGAAGGCAGCAGGCGCGCUAAUUACCCACUUCCCGGAACGGGGAGGUAGUGACGAAAAAUAACGAUACGGGACUCAUCCGAGGCCCCGUAAUCGGAAUGAGAACACUUUAAAACCUUUAAACGAGGAUCAAUUGGAGGGCAAGUCUGGUGCCAGCAGCCGCGGUAAUUCCAGCUCCAAUAGCGUAUAUUAAAGUUGUUGCGGUUAAAAAAGCUCGUAGUCGGAUCUGUGUCUGGGCGGUGCCGGACCACCCUGGCGGUCCGUCGUGUCGCGGCCGGCCGUGUCGCGGGACCACGUGUCCCGUCGGCGCGGUCGCCGUCGCGCUCGUCAGCCGUCUCGGGGUGUUAGUUACCGGCACGUCGGCCGGACGUAUUGUCGGCAGGCGGACACGUGUCUCGGGCUUCCGGGCGCGCCGCGCGGCCACGCGUCGCGCGGCCGUCGGGGUUCGACGACGGCGGCCGCCUACUCCAAUCUUGCUGCGCGGUGAUCUUCACCGAUUGCCGUCGGCGGGCCGACACGUUUACUUUGAACAAAUUAGAGUGCUCAAAGCAGGCUCAAAUCUGGCGGGGCGGCUUCACGGCCGUCUCGUCAAAAGGCCCUGAAUACUGGUCGCAUGGAAUAAUGGAACAAGACCUCGGUCCCGCGCAUCUCCGCCCUUCGCGGGCGCGCGAAAUCGCCCUCCGGGGCGUUUCCGUGCGCGGGCCGCCGGGCCGGUUUUCGGGACCGGAGGUAAUGAUCAACAGAGACGGGCGGGGGCAUUCGUACCGAGACGUUAGAGGUGAAAUUCUUGGAUCGUCUCGAGACGAACUGACGCGAAAGCAUUUGCCAAGUACGUUCUCGUAUGAUCAAGAACGAAAGUUAGAGGUUCGAAGGCGAUCAGAUACCGCCCUAGUUCUAACUGUAAACGAUGCCAGCUAGCGAUCCGCCGGCGUUUCAUUAACGACCCGGCGGGCAGCUUCCGGGAAACCGAAGCUUUUCGGUUCCGGGCUUAGAACCAUUUGCAUAUUCUCAAAUCAGUUUACAUUAUGAUAAUAACACUCCAUUUUUAAAAGCUACAAAAUUAACAAGAUCUAUUGAAUUAUCCCAUUGGGGAAAUGUUGCUGUUACUGAUGUCAUUGACCUUGUUCAUCAUGGUGCUAAAUUAAAAGGUUCAUUUUCUCGUUAUGAUUAUCAACGUGAAACUAACAGUGGAAUAUCUAGUGUAAAAUCAUUCAAAAUGUAUCUUCCAGCUUCAGCAACUAGUGUUUAUUAUAGAGAUGUCAUUGGUAACAUAUCUACAUCAAAUCAAAGAACACUUUUAGACUCCGUUGAGUUGGAUAUUCGUCCAAGAUUCCCUCUAUUUGGUGGUUGGAAAACUCAUUAUACAAUUGGUUAUAAUGUACCAGCUUACGAAUAUCUA
rnacentral:rRNA from 1 species